AGCUUUGCACAGUGGCAGUAUUGUAGCCAAUGAGGUUUAUCCGAGGCACGAUUAUUGCUAACUGAAGUACCCAGAUAAUGGUAUCUGAUGCACAUCUCGAGUUCUUUUACAGAUAUGAAAACCACGUCCUGGCUAUUGUAAAUAGAG